rnacentral:rRNA from 1 species
UACGUAGGGUGCAAGCGUUAAUCGGAAUUACUGGGCGUAAAGCGUGCGCAGGCGGUUUUGUAAGACUGUCGUGAAAUCCCCGGGCUUAACCUGGGAACUGCAUUGGUGACUGGCAGGCUAGAGUACGGCAGAGGGGGGUAGAAUUCCACGUGUAGCAGUGAAAUGCGUAGAGAUGUGGAGGAAUACCGAUGGCGAAGGCAGCCCCCUGGGCCAAUACUGACGCUCAUGCACGAAAGCGUGGGGAGCAAACAGG